rnacentral:rRNA from 1 species
UUUUAAUUUUUUAAUGUAAAUUAAUUUACAUUAAAAAAUUUUAUUGGGGUGAUAAAAAAAUUUUAAAAACUUUUUUAUAUUGUAUUCUUUUAUUUGAGUAGUUAUAAUUAAUUUAAAUUUUAAAAAUUAAAUAAAA